ACGCGUACAUUUGACAUUUAAACGAAUAAUAUAUCUGGCCUUGUCUUGGUGACCUUCGUUUCGGCUCUCAAGCAGUCCACUGUUUCGAGUCAUCAUGCCUGAGAAGAUCCGUGCCGGUGGAGAACUGUUCAAGUUCCAGUGGACAGUCCUUUCUAGACUGCAGCAGUUUCCUUUUAAAUUCUAUUGGCAGAAUGGCAGAGUUUUCCGCUACUACUUCUACGCGGCUGCAGCUGCUGCGCCUCUCUUUAUGAUGCUCACCAAAGCGAGUUAUGCUCCUGCCAAUGUGAAACAGUGGGAAGAAAUCAGAAAUCACAGAAGACACACCUUCUUCGAACUUCCUCAUGAAUAAAAGCUGUGCGUGGAUAGGGGCAAGGCCGAUGGCUGCGCCACAUGUGUGUGAUAGUGAUCUGUGCUAGGCUGGACAGGACAUGGGACUGAGUGGCAUCUUCUUACAGUGUGACUCAAUUUUGUGUUUUGCUGAUUUACUUUCAUUUUGUAGGUUUGAAAGAAUACAAAAUACAACGUUCUUAAUAUUUGAAAA